AAAUUAGGGUGGUCACAAAAUCGGAGGCCCCGACUGUUUACUAAAAACACAACACAGUGCAAUCAUCAAUAUGAUAGUAUACUGUGUGAAAUUUGCCCAAUGCCAUUAAUAUAAGAGCAGUCAUGGGGAACUGUGACUUAUCGAAAAUCUGGUGAAUAGCGGUCUUAACUAUGAGGAUCCUAAGGUAGCAAAAUUAUUUGGCCAUUAAAUGUGGUCCAGUAUCAAUAAUGUAACGAUGGUCUCACUGUCUCUACAACUUGCUCAGUGAAAUUGAAUUACGCGUGCAGAUGCGCGUUACCUCCAGGGGGACGGGAAGACCCUAU
rnacentral:rRNA from 1 species